rnacentral:rRNA from 1 species
AAACUUAAAGGAAUUUGACGGGGGCCCGCACAAGCAGCGGAGCGUGUGGUUUAAUUCGAGGCUACACGAAGAACCUUACCCGGGUUUGACAUAGGCGUAGUAGCGAGGUGAAAGCUGAGCGACCGCAAGGAGCGUCUACAGGUGCUGCAUGGCUGUCGUCAGCUCGUGUCGUGAGAUGUUCGGUUAAGUCCGAAAACGAGCGCAACCCCGGGGUCAGUUACACGUGUCUGACCCGACUGCCUGCGAGAAGCAGGAGGAAGGUGGGGAUGACGUCAAGUCAGCAUGGCCUUUAUAUCCGGGGCUACACACACGCUACAAUGGACGGUACAGUGGGUUGCGAGACCGCGAGGUGGAGCCAAUCCCCCAAAGCCGUUCGUAGUUCGGAUUGUAGGCUGCAACUCGCCUGCAUGAAGCCGGAGUUGCUAGUAACCGCGUAUCAGCGAUGGCGCGGUGAAUACGUUCCCGGGCCUUGUACACACCGCCCGUCACGUCAUGGGAGCUGGUCAUGCCUGAAGUCGGAGAGCCAACCUAACGGGGGCAACCGCCGAAGGCAGGGCGGGUGACUGGGACGAAGUCGUAACAAGGUAGCUGUACCGGAAGGUGCGGCUGGAUCACCUCCUUUCUG